rnacentral:rRNA from 1 species
GACGAACGCUGGCGGCGUGCUUAACACAUGCAAGUCGAACGGAAAGGCACUGCGCUUGCGGCGUUCUCGAGUGGCGAACGCGUGAGUAACACGUGAGUAACCUCCCCUUGACUUUGGGGUAACUCCAGGAAACUCGGGCUAAUACCGGAUAGGAUCUCCUGCUGCAUGGUGGUGGUUGGAAAGUUUCGGCUGUGGGGGCUGGACUCGCGGCUUAUCAGCUGGUUGGUGGGGUAGUGGCUUACAAAGGGUUUGACGGGUAGCCGGCAUGAGAGGGUGGCCGGCCACCUGGGGACUGCGGUACGGACCAGAAUCCUACGGGACGCAGCAGUGGGGAAUAUUGCACAGUGGGCGGAAGCCUGAUGCAGCAACGCCGCGUGCGGGAUGACGGCCUUCGGGUUGUAAACAGCCUUCGAAUGUGACGAAGCGUGAGUGACGGUAAUGGGUAAAGAAGCACCGGCUAACUACGUG